rnacentral:rRNA from 1 species
UACGUAGGGAGCGAGCGUUGUCCGGAAUUACUGGGUGUAAAGGGAGCGUAGGCGGGGAUGCAAGUUGGGUGUCAAAACUACCGGCCCAACUGGUAGUCGCACUCAAAACUGCAGCUCUUGAGUGAAGUAGAGGCAGGCGGAAUUCCUAGUGUAGCGGUGAAAUGCGUAGAUAUUAGGAGGAACACCAGUGGCGAAGGCGGCCUGCUGGGCUUUUACUGACGCUGAGGCUCGAAAGUGUGGGGAGCAAACAGG